UACGUAGGGUGCAAGCGUUAAUCGGAAUUACUGGGCGUAAAGCGUGCGCAGGCGGCGAUGCAAGACAGGUGUGAAAUCCCCGGGCUUAACCUGGGAACUGCAUUUGUGACUGCAUCGCUGGAGUGCGGCAGAGGGGGAUGGAAUUCCGCGUGUAGCAGUGAAAUGCGUAGAGAUGCGGAGGAACACCGAUGGCGAAGGCAGCCCCCUGGGCUGACACUGACGCUCAGGCACGAAAGCGUGGGGAGCAAACAGG
rnacentral:rRNA from 1 species